rnacentral:rRNA from 1 species
GAUGAACGCUGGCGGCGUGCCUAAUACAUGCAAGUCGAGCGAACGGACGAGAAGCUUGCUUCUCUGAUGUUAGCGGCGGACGGGUGAGUAACACGUGGAUAACCUACCUAUAAGACUGGGAUAACUUCGGGAAACCGGAGCUAAUACCGGAUAAUAUUUUGAACCGCAUGGUUCAAAAGUAAAAGACGGUCUUGCUGUCACUUAUAGAUGGAUCCGCGCUGCAUUAGCUAGUUGGUAAGGUAACGGCUUACCAAGGCAACGAUGCAUAGCCGACCUGAGAGGGUGAUCGGCCACACUGGAACUGAGACACGGUCCAGACUCCUACAGGAGGCAGCAGUAGGGAAUCUUCCGCAAUGGGCGAAAGCCUGACGGAGCAACGCCGCGUGAGUGAUGAAGGUCUUCGGAUCGUAAAACUCUGUUAUUAGGGAAGAACAUAUGUGUAAGUAACUGUGCACAUCUUGACGGUACCUAAUCAGGAAGCCACGGCUAACUACGUG